GAAAUGCGAUAAGUAAUGUGAAUUGCAGAAUUCAGUGAAUCAUCGAAUCUUUGAACGCACAUUGCGCCCCCUGGUAUUCCGGGGGGCAUGCCUGUUCGAGCGUCAUUUCACCACUCAAGCCUCGCUUGGUAUUGGGCGACGCGGUCCGCCGCGCGCCUCAAAUCGACCGGAUGGGUCUUCCGUCCCCUCAGCGUUGUGGAAACUAUUCGCUAAAGGGUGCCGCGGGAGGUCACGCCGCAAAACAACCCCAUUUCUAAGGUUGACCUCGGAUCAGGUAGGGAUACCCGCUGAACUUAAGC
rnacentral:misc_RNA from 1 species